GACAUGUUCCUGUUGCCAGUGCCCCGUUUCACUAAGCUCUCGUAAGCCUGAGAUCUCGCAACUUUCCGUGUAGCAUUCCUACCUCCUAUACUGUAACAUAGACUUACGGCAGUUGUAGUGCUACGGUAGC